rnacentral:rRNA from 1 species
GAUGAACGCUAGCGGCAGGCUUAAUACAUGCAAGUCGUGGGCAGCAUGAGUAGCAAUACUUGAUGGCGACCGGCAAACGGGUGCGGAACACGUACACAACCUUCCGAUAAGUGGGGAAUAGCCCAGAGAAAUUUGGAUUAAUACCCCGUAACAUAUAGAGUAGGCAUCUUCUUUAUAUUAUAGCUUCGGCGCUUAUUGAUGGGUGUGCGUCUGAUUAGGUAGUUGGCGGGGUAACGGCCCACCAAGCCUACGAUCAGUAGCUGAUGUGAGAGCAUGGUCAGCCACACGGGCACUGGGACACGGGCCCGACUCCUACGGGAGGCAGCAGUAAGGAAUAUUGGACAAUGGGCGAAAGCCUGAUCCAGCCAUGCCGCGUGAAGGAUUAAGGUCCUCUGGAUUGUAAACUUCUUUUAUUUGGGACGAAAAAAGGGAAUUCUUUCCACUUGACGGUACCAAGUGAAUAAGCACCGGCUAACUCCGUGCCAGCCGCCGCAGUAA